UGGACGCCCGUCCCGCCUGCCCAGUGUUCAGACUACCUGUUCAGGAAUUAGUGUUUGUACAGUAGUCUGCACAUUGGUUAGGCUGGAUGGGGAUGCU
rnacentral:pre_miRNA from 8 species